rnacentral:rRNA from 1 species
CCCAAAAGCUGGCGACUGGCGCACGGGUGAGUAACACGUAUCCAACCUGCCUCAUACUCGGGGAUAGCCUUUCGAAAGAAAGAUUAAUAUCCGAUAGCAUAUAUUUCCCGCAUGGGUUUUAUAUUAAAGAAAUUCGGUAUGAGAUGGGGAUGCGUUCCAUUAGUUUGUUGGGGGGGUAACGGCCCACCAAGACUACGAUGGAUAGGGGUUCUGAGAGGAAGGUCCCCCACAUUGGAACUGAGACACGGUCCAA